UGUCUUAAGGCAAGCAACAUGCGCUUGCGAUAGGCUUUACAAAAACGUCGGUUAAAGACAUGUGAGUUUCCUCCUAUAUCCACAUUCAAGAAUCAGAAACUCUUUCAUAGAAUCAUAUUUGGAACCUGUUCAAUAGAAUUCUUGGUGAACAACAUGAAUAAUAGUUACCUGUUUCUUGUUUUGCAUAUCUUUUAUCUCUCUUUUUAAGACUAAGUCAAUUGCUUGAUAUGCAGACGGGCUGUUAACAAGGGCAUUGGGGUCGAUAACAUGCAUUAUCUUAAUGAUGGUCUUUGGAAGAUGGAGCGUUUAGAUUGAUGAUGAAGCUUCAAAGUAUUCAUUCCAGAGGAUAGUGUUAAUCCAUAUGUUACGACUUUGUGAAGGCCCUUAUUUAUACUUUCUUUCUCCGUUUGCUGUUCAAUUACAAGUCAAGAGGUCAUGUGUUUCUCCAUCAGGCUGGCUCUUUUCUUCAAUGUCUGCUGUACAGAUGCAUCCCUCAUUAACCGUUUUGGAUUUGGUGUUGAAUUCUGAUACAAGUUGAUGGGUAGCAUUCGACUAUCGAAGCAUGAUGGUGGAAUCCAACUUUUACAGCUUCUAGGACAGAUUCGGUUGUGGUUCUCUUUGAAAUGGAUGGGGAGUCUGUAGGAUGGAGUUCUCCUGUUCUAUCCAGGAUCCAUUUCAAACUGGUUCAAAUCUCUCUUCCUAAGCAA